AAGACUUUAAGUUAAAAAAAACUUUUAUCCUUCAAAGCUAAAAAUAAAGAUGCAUCUUUAAGUCUUA
rnacentral:tRNA from 2 species